rnacentral:rRNA from 1 species
UAGGGAAUAUUGGGCAAUGGAGGCAACUCUGACCCAGCCAUGCCGCGUGCAGGAAGACGGCCCUCUGGGUUGUAAACUGCUUUUGAAUGGGAAGAAUGUGAUGUUUGCGAGCAUUAAUGACGGUACCAUUAGAAUAAGCCACGGCUAACUACGUGCCAGCAGCCGCGGUAAUACGUAGGUGGCGAGCGUUAUCCGGAUUUAUUGGGUUUAAAGGGUGCGUAGGCGGCUUAAUAAGUCGGUGGUAAAAGGUAGCAGCUUAACUGUUUUACAUGCCAUCGAUACUGUUGAGCUUGAGUUAUUUGGAGGCAGCUAGAAUUUCCGGUGUAGCGGUGAAAUGCAUAGAUACCGGAAGGAAUACCGAUUGCGAAGGCAGGUUGCUACGAAUAUACUGACGCUGAUGCACGAAAGCGUGGGGAUCAAACA